CAAGAUGGCACACAUCCUCCAUCAGCUUUAGGACCCUGUCAAAGCCGUCCAGGAGAUCAUUGACUGCGGAUGGCAGGUGCUCCAGGAUAGGGGAAACCUGCAUCAAAGACUGGAGGAAAGUGAUCUUCCCACAGAGAGUGGAAAGCAGAGCUGAAAAGGCACACGGGAGUGUCCUGAACUCUUCCACAGUUGAAGAGAAGGCCUGAACAAUGAAGAAGAAAAGAAAAAGCCACACUUGGCCCAGAUGAGAAGGAAGAAGAGGAAGAUGAGUUUGAUAGCCACUAGCUCCCUCAAGGCAUGCUGGAAGGUUUUCCCAAACACAGACCAUCUCCGGACAAAGCGCAGCUGUUGCACCAUCUAGAAAGAAAAAGAAGAAGAAGAAGCUAGUUCAGAGACUUGCCUCUUUGAAGGGAAGAAGCCAUUGAGAACACUUUCUCUGUCCCCUUAUCACAGGAAGAGAGCCAAGGAAUAUUAUCGCAAGGCUACAUCAAGAUAACAAACAGCAGCCAUCAUCACAACCAUAAGCAUCUGUCAAGGGAAGCAGCUCUAAUGCUUGGUGUCACAGUCCAAUAAAUGAGAACCUCAAAGGGAAGGUUCUCAAAACUAGAGAAGUCGUUUUAGCUAAUAAGGCCUGGCUGUUGGUUUGGAAUAUAAACGUUGAGUGUCACAUCAGUGAUAGGAGUGAAAAUAUUGUGGGUACAGCCACCUGAGUUUCUUGUAUAUGUGAAGGACCUAAGGAAGUUGGCUGCUUCAGUUUAAGGACAUAAAGGCUUCUUUGGGACAAACAGCAAUACUGUUUGUUGGAAAUUCCCACCCACGAAAAUUCUCAGCUCCCCUACUGUCUUUCCUGCUGACUUCACAGCCGAAGCUUUGGGCAGCCUUUAUUUAUCUGCUCUGUGUGUUCCUUCAUUGUUCAUUAAGGAAACAAGAGGCAGCAACAAAGCUCUAAUUCGAAUACAUCCAAGCUUGGAUGGAGUAGAUGGGUCUCCCUGUGCAGAUUCAUUAGGCAGCACAUGGAAAGGAAUGGCACCAAGAUUAUCCCUCGGUAGCAGCUUCAAUGACAAUUAUAAGGUCAUUACAGCAUCAUUUAAGAGGCACGUUAACAAGAACCUAUGCAUCAUUGUGAUUGUUAAUAGAUCUGGCUCGGUGCUUUCCAAAACACAUUUUGCUAUGCACGAAGGGGACCAUUUUAAUAAAUCUUCUCUUUUAUAAGAGAUGGAAGAUGUAUUCUGAAAUUGUUAACCAAGUGGUUGUGGCCAAGAGGAGAGAAGGAUGUGUCACAGUGAAGGGAAAAUACAUGGUCAUGCUUGCUCAGGUGUCAAAAUUCAAACAAAGGCUGCAAUCAGUGGCACUGUUUGUGGGUGGCCUCUGGGGCCCAAUUCUCAGCUCUCUGCAGUGAGCUUUAUAUCUCCUUUUCCCUUUCCCUGUUUUAUUUAUUUAUUAAUUAACAAUAUUUUUACUUUGCUUGCAGGGAGGCAUCCAUGCCUAUAAAUUGUUAUGUGCUAAUUUGUGUUGAUCUGUAUCUGAAAUCUUUUAAGUACCUCGCAAUGUUCCUGGCUACCAUCCUGGAAAUAGUUAUUUCCAGGAUUUCCUGCUGACUUAAAAAGGGACAACAUUAGGCUCUACAUUUUUCAGGACUGCAGCCAGAGUUGCCAACCAGUCUGUCUGGUUUGGGGGAGAAAAUUAACCAUUUCGUCUAUCUAUAUAAAGCCAACUCCCAUCUUUCCAUUUCGCAUUAUGAGGAAACAGAACCCAAAGUGGAGCUAUGUAGUGAACGAGCAGAUUCAAUUCUCAAUAAACAAGGACAGCUUAAUCCCCAUAUUAAAACCAGUUUGGGGGGGGGUCCCUCCCACAUAUUUAGAAAUAAAGAAAUUGGUUGUAUUUAGUUUUGCAGUAGCAGGUCUGAUAGAACAGUGUGUUGUUGCCUUAGAUUGCUAUUAACAGUUUGUGUCUAUGCACACUGUCUCUAAACUCUGGGAGAAAUAAAGAGGACAGUCACGUCAUACACAUCA